GUGUGUUCACCUUGAAUUGGGAAGAAGAGAAGAAGCAUGAAGAUCCAUCACAUUCCUAGCCUCCAAGACGAUUAUUCCUAUUUAUAAUAUUCUAAUUUUGCAUUUCCUAGUUUCGAUUUUGGGCAAUAUCUGAAUCUGGGUUAUUUGCAGGAUCGUGGACUGAGACUACAAAAGAAGUUGCAACAGUGGGUUAUUUGAAUGGGGUUGGAAUAUCAUCUGGAGCUGCAGCAUCAUCUGCCAUUAAGAUAGCAAAAAGACCAGAAAUUUUGGAAAGCUUAUUGUAUUGGAUCUUGUCAGCUAACUCAGCAAGCAGACUUUAUGAAAUAGCAAGCAAACAUGAUGAAACAAAUGCAGGAACAACUCCGAAUUUUAAUGCAGGACAAGGAAGCC